GACGAACGCUGGCGGCGUGCCUAAUACAUGCAAGUCGAACGAACUCUGGUAUUGAUUGGUGCUUGCAUCAUGAUUUACAUUUGAGUGAGUGGCGAACUGGUGAGUAACACGUGGGAAACCUGCCCAGAAGCGGGGGAUAACACCUGGAAACAGAUGCUAAUACCGCAUAACAACUUGGACCGCAUGGUCCGAGCUUGAAAGAUGGCUUCGGCUAUCACUUUUGGAUGGUCCCGCGGCGUAUUAGCUAGAUGGUGGGGUAACGGCUCACCAUGGCAAUGAUACGUAGCCGACCUGAGAGGGUAAUCGGCCACAUUGGGACUGAGACACGGCCCAAACUCCUACGGGAGGCAGCAGUAGGGAAUCUUCCACAAUGGACGAAAGUCUGAUGGAGCAACGCCGCGUGAGUGAAGAAGGGUUUCGGCUCGUAAAACUCUGUUGUUAAAGAAGAACAUAUCUGAGAGUAACUGUUCAGGUAUUGACGGUAUUUAACCAGAAAGCCACGGCUAACUACGUGCCAGCAGCCGCGGUAAUACGUAGGUGGCAAGCGUUGUCCGGAUUUAUUGGGCGUAAAGCGAGCGCAGGCGGUUUUUUAAGUCUGAUGUGAAAGCCUUCGGCUCAACCGAAGAAGUGCAUCGGAAACUGGGAAACUUGAGUGCAGAAGAGGACAGUGGAACUCCAUGUGUAGCGGUGAAAUGCGUAGAUAUAUGGAAGAACACCAGUGGCGAAGGCGGCUGUCUGGUCUGUAACUGACGCUGAGGCUCGAAAGUAUGGGUAGCAAACAGGAUUAGAUACCCUGGUAGUCCAUACCGUAAACGAUGAAUGCUAAGUGUUGGAGGGUUUCCGCCCUUCAGUGCUGCAGCUAACGCAUUAAGCAUUCCGCCUGGGGAGUACGGCCGCAAGGCUGAAACUCAAAGGAAUUGACGGGGGCCCGCACAAGCGGUGGAGCAUGUGGUUUAAUUCGAAGCUACGCGAAGAACCUUACCAGGUCUUGACAUACUAUGCAAAUCUAAGAGAUUAGACGUUCCCUUCGGGGACAUGGAUACAGGUGGUGCAUGGUUGUCGUCAGCUCGUGUCGUGAGAUGUUGGGUUAAGUCCCGCAACGAGCGCAACCCUUAUUAUCAGUUGCCAGCAUUAAGUUGGGCACUCUGGUGAGACUGCCGGUGACAAACCGGAGGAAGGUGGGGAUGACGUCAAAUCAUCAUGCCCCUUAUGACCUGGGCUACACACGUGCUACAAUGGAUGGUACAACGAGUUGCGAACUCGCGAGAGUAAGCUAAUCUCUUAAAGCCAUUCUCAGUUCGGAUUGUAGGCUGCAACUCGCCUACAUGAAGUCGGAAUCGCUAGUAAUCGCGGAUCAGCAUGCCGCGGUGAAUACGUUCCCGGGCCUUGUACACACCGCCCGUCACACCAUGAGAGUUUGUAACACCCCAAGUCGGUGGGGUAACCUUUUAGGAACCAGCCGCCUAAGGUGGGACAGAUGAUUAGGGUG
rnacentral:rRNA from 2 species